UGGGGAAUAUUGCACAAUGGGCGCAAGCCUGAUGCAGCCAUGCCGCGUGUAUGAAGAAGGCCUUCGGGUUGUAAAGUACUUUCAGUCGGGAGGAAGGUGGUAAGGUUAAUAACCUUGGCAAUUGACGUUACCGACAGAAGAAGCACCGGCUAACUCCGUGCCAGCAGCCGCGGUAAUACGGCGGGUGCAAGCGUUAAUCGGAAUUACUGGGCGUAAAGCGCACGCAGGCGGUUUGUUAAGUCAGAUGUUAAAUCCCCGGGCUCAACCUGGGAACUGCAUCUGAUACUGGCAAGCUUGAGUCUCGUAGAGGGGGGUAGAAUUCCAGGUGUAGCGGUGAAAUGCGUAGAGAUCUGGAGGAAUACCGGUGGCGAAGGCGGCCCCCUGGACGAAGACUGACGCUCAGGUGCGAAAGCGUGGGGAGCAAACAGG
rnacentral:rRNA from 1 species